AGAAAUCACCACAAAACUCCAUUCCACUUCUUGCAAAAGAGCCAACAUCUCAAAAUGAUGCAAUUGCAGCCCUACAUGUUUGUUUGUUUGCUUAUUUUAUCCAGACAGGUUUUUGCAGGAAGGGGCUUUUGCAGCACAAACAGCGCCACUGUAUCAACCAGGAGCUGAGUGGAACCGUGGAGCCGCUUGGAAGUUGCCUCAUCUCCCAGCAAAUGAGAAACGGAGGGAAACACCAACGCAGGCGACACUGCACCUUGCAGCAGAGACUCGUGUGUCCUACAAGUCACCUUGCAUCAAGAUACAGACCCACAACAGCAGCCUGACGGGUGCAAUGAGGAGGAGGAGGAGGACAGCGAGGGCAACAGGAAAACAUGAGUAUGAAGCCAAGUUUGCAAGACCAGAGGCUGAAAUCCUCUCCCAGGUUGCAGCAGUUGGUACAGCACAGCUGCGCAAGCCACAGGAUGCUUCCCUACUUUCAACUUGAGCAGCUCCAACAGCAAGGGAACAAGCCUUCUCUCAUUCCACCCAAAA